CUGAGCGGAGCGUUAAUCCAAAUUGAUGGCCUUGUGAACGUUCGAUGCUGAUAAUACAAAAAAAAAAAAAUGUACAAAAAAUGUUACAAAAAGAAACGAGCCGGCGUAAAAAAAGGAAGAAAAGGAAAAGAAAAGGGAAAAGAAAUCGUCAGAAAGGAAUCCUAAUAAAACGUUUCGAAAUAAUUUUCAAGUUUUUUCUUACGUAAAAAACCUAAAUUAUUUUCUCUUUUCUAUAUCGCAUAAAGAAUAAAAUUAGGAUGCAUAUCUUAUCGGUCAAAAAGAAAAAUAUAUACGAGCUGCUUUAUAAUACGUGUCCGUCAUUGAACAGACUUGGGCGGCUAUUUGCCGACACGUGUCUGUAUAUAUUAGUUUGGAAAUUAUGAAACGGGCGUUUUUUGUUUAGUCUGUGUUCAGCUGCGACUGAGAGAGAUACAUUGUAACGUGCGCUCGAUAUUUUAAUUUAUAAAGCUUAAAGAUGGAAACAAAACGCGAUUUACAUCUACUCUUCUUGUACGAGUUUAAAUUAAAUCAUACCGCAGCUCAAGCUUCAAGAAAUAUUAAUCAGGCAUUCGGAGAUGAAUCCACCAAUGAAAAAAAUGCUCGAUAUUGGUUCCAAAAAUUUCAUUCUGGCAAUUUGAGUAUCGUCAAUGAGCUUUGAGGAAGACCAACGGGCCCAUAUUGAUAACGAGGAAUUAAGGACGACUUUGAAAUCUGAUCCACACAUAAUUAGUCGAACACUUUGAUCUAAACUAGGAACUAGUCAUACAGCUGUAUUAAAUCAUUUGCGUACAAUAAAUAAAGUCAAAAAAUUGGACUUAUAUGUGCCGCACGAAUUGACGCAACUGCAGAUGAACGACCGCAAAAGCAAGUGGGCAUCUUUGUUGCUUCGCAAUACACGAUUGCCAUUUUUACACCAAAUCAUCACUUGUGAUGAAAAGUGGAUUUUGUAUGAUAAUCGAAAACGAUCAAGCCAAUGGGUAGAUAAGAAUACACCACCAGGGCACACUCCGAAAUCGAAAUUUCAUUAAAAAAAAAUUAUGGUUACCAUAUGGUGGAAUGCCUAAGGAGUGAUCCAUUAUUAUUUUCUACAACCAGGCGAAACUAUAACACUGAUGUCUUAUUGUCGUGAAAUUGAUGACAUGCUUGAGAAACUUAUGAAAAAACAACCAGCAUUGCUCAAUCGAUUCGGCACAAUAUUACUGCAUGAUAACCACAUAAAGCUUCAAUUACUGUUGACAAAUUAACUUCUCUACAAUAUGAAAUUUUACCACAUCCUCCAUAUUCACCCGAUAUUUCACCGAUCGAUUAUUAUCUUUUUCGUAAUUAUGAAUUAUUUUUAAGAGAAAAAAAAUACAAUAACCAAAAUGAUAUCAUAAAAGACUUUGAAUUAUUUAUUAACUCUAAAAAUAAAGUUGUUUUUUUAAAAGGCAUAUAUGAUUUGUCCAAUCGUUGGCAAAAAGUCUUAGAUGCCAAUUAUUUCAAUUGAAUAUAAUAAAUAAUGUGAAAAAUUG